UUAUGGUGAUGAGGAUAAUUUCUGAGCAUGCCUUUAAAUAUCUCCCAAGCUUGGUGGAGAUUUUCUCCAUUUUUUUUCUGAAACUCAAUAUCUCACUCCUCAAUAG
rfam:Capsicum annuum cultivar Zunla-1 chromosome 12, whole genome shotgun sequence